rnacentral:rRNA from 1 species
UUUAGAUGACGAAGUGGUCGAUGCCAUGCUUCCAGGAAAAGCUUCUAAGCUUCAGGUAACUAGGAACCGUACCCCAAACCGACACAGGUGGUUGGGUAGAGAAUACCAAGGCGCUUGAGAGAACUCGGGUGAAGGAACUAGGCAAAAUGGCACCGUAACUUCGGGAGAAGGUGCGCCGGUGAGGGUGAAGUAUUUACUACGUAAGCCCAUGCCGGUCGAAGAUACCAGGCCGCUGCGACUGUUUAUUAAAAACACAGCACUCUGCAAACACGAAAGUGGACGUAUAGGGUGUGACGCCUGCCCGGUGCCGGAAGGUUAAUUGAUGGGGUUAGCUAACGCGAAGCUCUUGAUCGAAGCCCCGGUAAACGGCGGCCGUAACUAUAACGGUCCUAAGGUAGCGAAAUUCCUUGUCGGGUAAGUUCCGACCUGCACGAAUGGCGUAACGAUGGCGGCGCUGUCUCCACCCGAGACUCAGUGAAAUUGAAAUCGCUGUGAAGAUGCAGUGUAUCCGCGGCUAGACGGAAAGACCCCGUGAACCUUUACUAUAGCUUUGCACUGGACUUUGAAUUUGCUUGUGUAGGAUAGGUGGGAGGCUUUGAAGCGUGGACGCUAGUCUGCGUGGAGCCAAUCUUGAAAUACCACCCUGGCAACUUUGAGGUUCUAACUCUGGUCCGUUAUCCGGAUCGAGGACAGUGUAUGGUGGGUAGUUUGACUGGGGCGGUCUCCUCCUAAAGAGUAACGGAGGAGUACGAAGGUGCGCUCAGACCGGUCGGAAAUCGGUCGUAGAGUAUAAAGGCAAAAGCGCGCUUGACUGCGAGACAGACACGUCGAGCAGGUACGAAAGUAGGUCUUAGUGAUCCGGUGGUUCUGUAUGGAAGGGCCAUCGCUCAACGGAUAAAAGGUACUCCGGGGAUAACAGGCUGAUACCGCCCAAGAGUUCAUAUCGACGGCGGUGUUUGGCACCUCGAUGUCGGCUCAUCACAUCCUGGGGCUGAAGCCGGUCCCAAGGGUAUGGCUGUUCGCCAUUUAAAGUGGUACGCGAGCUGGGUUUAGAACGUCGUGAGACAGUUCGGUCCCUAUCUGCCGUGGACGUUUGAGAUUUGAGAGGGGCUGCUCCUAGUACGAGAGGACCGGAGUGGACGAACCUCUGGUGUUCCGGUUGUCACGCCAGUGGCAUUGCCGGGUAGCUAUGUUCGGGAAAGAUAACCGCUGAAAGCAUCUAAGCGGGAAACUUGCCUCGAGAUGAGAUCUCACUGGAACCUUGAGUUCCCUAAAGGGCCGUCGAAGACUACGACGUUGAUAGGUUGGGUGUGUAAGCGCUGUGAGGCGUUGAGCUAACCAAUACUAAUUGCCCGUGAGGCUUGACCU